UGUACACGUGGGGUGUGCAUGUGCAUGUGCAGUAUAUGUGUGUAUUACACGUGGGGUGUGCAUGUGCAUUAUAUGUAUGCAUUACAUAUGGAGUGUAUAUAUGCAUGUGUGGUAUGUGUGUGCAUGUACACGUGGAGCAUGUAUGUGCAUGUAUGGUAUGUGUGUUUGCAUGUGCACGUGGGGCAUGUACAUGCAUUGUGGUAUAUGUGUAUAUUACAUACGUGGGGUGUGCACGGGCAUGUGUGGUAUACGUGUGCAUGUACACAUGGGGUGUGUAUGUGCCUGUGUGAUAUGUGUGUGUAUGCUUGUUUGUACAUGUGCAUGCACGCACAGAGACCAGUUCCAUUUGCACCUGAGAGAAACAUGACAUCCUUUCUGGAGAGAAAGGCACGAAAGCGAUUCUACCACUUGUGUCCCCGUUGCCGCUGAGCCCAGACCCCUCCCUGCAAACUUCUCCAGCAUCAGCAGUUAAAGGGCUGCAUCUCCAGAGCUACAAGCCCUACCGAACGGGUUUUCCCUAAACGUGCACCAACUGUGGCUGAGUCAAUGGACUGAAGGACAACAACCGUUCUGUUCUUAUUGCUGUGCGUUUACCUCCUUUAUACGUCUCGUGUGGACUUCACGUCCGACACUUUCACGCAUGUUGCAAAAAUUCACUGAAUGUUUCGGUCUGCUGCUUGGUUUUGCCCACUCUGUCGAAGAAAUCUGAGAAAGGAAGGCAGUUCUAACAACGGAGUCCCAUUGGCUUUGGAGGCGAUGCUGACUGUUACUUCACAACGUUGACAGGACCCCUGGCCACUAGCUUCUGAGUAUGUGUGACUCUAGCCGAUUAGGCGGAAACACGUUUACGGAAAGAGACUGCACAGAUCUUGAGACCUGGGGAGGGGCCGAGAACGAGGUUACAGGAGAAUGUGCCAGGGCCAACAUUGAAUAUAAACUUAUGAAUGCGUCUGGGGAAGACACUGCCAUGGUCACUUGGCAGGUCGCUGCAAAUGGACUGCCACCCCAUCCGUGACGCCCCGCCUGAGGUCGACGUUGAGACCUCGCCCCAGUGCACCUGCCAUCUUGGACACCCUCCUGCCAUCGCCACGCAUAAAAAAUGCCUGUGACUGGAGGAGGCUGUGUGACUGGUUCGGGUCCCGCUGCAAGGGAAGCUGGAAAUGUGAACUUUAAGGGUUCAUCCUGGGAGAGAUGAGACUCCUGGAGGAAGAAAUGUGCGAGACACACAAGUGGGCACCAUCCAAGUCAAGAAACCAAAGCUAUGAAUCCUCCAUAAAAAAAAAACAAACCCAACCUGUGGAUGCACUGGGCAGUGUUGUGAUGGACGAACACCUGUCCUCUGGCUGCAGAAAUCCAGGCUGACUUAUGGUUGGCUCUGAGAUGAAGGGGUAGGUGUAGACAGAAGAGGAAGAAUAAUCCCUGUGUAGGU
rnacentral:lncRNA from 1 species